GACGAACGCUGGCGGCGUGCUUAACACAUGCGAGUCGAACGGAAAGGCCCUGCUUUUGUGGGGUGCUCGAGUGGCGAACGGGUGAGUAACACGUGAGUAACCUGCCCUUGACUUUGGGAUAACUUCAGGAAACUGGGGCUAAUACCGGAUAGGAGCUCCUGCUGCAUGGUGGGGGUUGGAAAGUUUCGGCGGUUGGGGAUGGACUCGCGGCUUAUCAGCUUGUUGGUGGGGUAGUGGCUUACCAAGGCUUUGACGGGUAGCCGGCCUGGGAGGGUGGCCGGCCACAAUGGGACUGAGAUACGGCCCAGACUCCUACGGGGGGCAGCAGUGGGGAAUAUUGCACAAUGGGCGGAAGCCUGAUGCAGCAACGCCGCGUGCGGGAUGACGGCCUUCGGGUUGUAAACCGCUUUCGCCUGUGACGAAGCGUGAGUGACGGUAAUGGGUAAAGAAGCACCGGCUAACUACGUG
rnacentral:rRNA from 1 species